GAUGAACGCUGGCGGCGUGCCUAAUACAUGCAAGUCGAGCGAACAGACGAGGAGCUUGCUCCUUUGACGUUAGCGGCGGACGGGUGAGUAACACGUGGGUAACCUACCUAUAAGACUGGGAUAACUUCGGGAAACCGGAGCUAAUACCGGAUAAUAUUUCGAACCGCAUGGUUCGAUAGUGAAAGAUGGCUUUGCUAUCACUUAUAGAUGGACCUGCGCCGUAUUAGCUAGUUGGUAAGGUAACGGCUUACCAAGGCAACGAUACGUAGCCGACCUGAGAGGGUGAUCGGCCACACUGGAACUGAGACACGGUCCAGACUCCUACGGGAGGCAGCAGUAGGGAAUAUUCCGCAAUGGGCGAAAGCCUGACGGAGCAACGCCGCGUGAGUGAUGAAGGUCUUCGGAUCGUAAAACUCUGUUAUUAGGGAAGAAGAAACGUGUAAGUAACUGUGCACGUCUUGACGGUACCUAAUCAGAAAGCCACGGCUAACUCCGUG
rnacentral:rRNA from 1 species